GGGGAGGGGGGUGGAAGGGGUGGGGGAGUGUCAAAGCCAUAUAAGGGGCACAUUAAUGUGGGAUCUUAACACAUAGACUUGGAGCGUGAAACACUCAUGAGAGGUCCAAAUAUUAGUUGGGGAGGCUCUAAUACCAUCUUAAGAAAAUGGGCCGAUCCUAAUUCACCCCAAAAGCUAGCUCAAGGGGGGAGAAGUGGCCAAGACCAUAUAAGGGCACAUUAGCCCUAUCUCAAAUCAAUGUGGGAUUUUAACAAUUUCUCUUCCACCGAGCACAUGAUACUUCAGGAUAUUUUGCGGUUGAUUAUUUGGGAUAUAGUAAUUUUUCUUAUAAUUUAUAUUAAUUUGCUAUUUUUUUUGGUUUUGGAGAAUUUUCUGAAUGGCCUCAUCUUGUUAAUUUGUUAUCUUAUUUUUCUUUUCUCACUUUCUCCCCACUUCAACAUUUUUUACAUGAUUACUUUUCUCCUGUAGUUUCUCCUAUUUGUCAUAUAUUUUUUCUCUUCAUUGCUAAUUGAGCAUCUCCAGAACUGGGUUUCUUUUUCAAGUUCAAAACAGGAUUUCCCAAUUUAAGUGCAGUAUGGUGAUUUUUGUUAACUCUUUGGUCUGGGCUUCAGGUAGACUGGACGCCUGAGCUGCACAAAAAAUUUGUGCAGGCAGUGGAGCAACUGGGUGUAGAUCAAGCCGUUCCUUCAAGAAUACUAGAGGUGAUGAAAGUGGAAGGCUUGACAAGACAUAAUGUAGCAAGUCAUCUCCAGGUAAAUUUAUGGCUGUAGCUAACUGAAGAGCUUUGAUUAUUUUCAAGCAGAAAUAUAGAAUGCAUCGGAGACAUAUUCUGCCCAAGGAAGAUGAUAGGAGAUGGUCACAACAAAGGGAUC
rnacentral:misc_RNA from 1 species